AAUCAUCACCCCUGCCCCAUAAACAUGAAAGAAAAGACAAGAGAAGCACCCCAGAAGAGAAGGGGAGAAGUGCCCCAGAAAAAAUCAUCCAGUCUCUGAAGUUUGCCCAGGUUAGGUAGGGACUGGCAGGCACCUUGGCUGUCCUUGUGGCUUCUGCCCUGACCCUGGUCCUCCCCAGGCUGCCGAUUUUCCGGGCUGCUGCUCUUCCAGGAGGAAUUGAAGGUGGGAAUGGCUGAAACCUCAGCUUUGGAUUCGCAGAGACCCUAAGCUGUGUCAUGCAGAAAGGGAAAGGAUUGCAGAUGGUGGUGGCAUCAGCUGAAGGCAGGGGAUUCACUGUGAUGCUGGAGCCGUCCACGCUGGGAUGUUUGCAUACAGCCCAGGUUCAAUUCGGUGGCCCAUCAGCGAGUCCUGGAUUCAGUCUCACUCGCAAGCCAUGGACAACAUGAGCUCAAUUUGCCAGGACUCUUGGGGUUAGGGAGAGCUCAGCGUCCGGGUGGCUCUGGUUCCUUCUCAUGCUGAAAUUCUGCUGGUGUUCCUCCAUGGGGCCCUUGUGGGUUUUUCUGAGGUGCCCCUCUUGCUGGAGUCGAGGAUGAGAAAUGUUUUCAGUGGGUUUUCACCCUCCACACAUAUGUAAGAGGUGUUGUGUUUCAUUCCUGUCAGUAUCCAUUGCUGCAGCUUCCUGAAGUUGUGUCCGUUAAAAGGCAGGGACCCAGUGUCCAGGCUACAGAGGGUGACUCCAGGUUCCACAGCACCACUGUGGACCAGUGUGCCUAUGGCCUUAGGAGAAUUCCCAGAUAGCACAAGGGGGCUGCCCCAGAGGGUGUUCAGCUUGUUGCCAACAGUUACUGAAGCCAGAGUCUGCAACCUUGAUGUUCAGGUCAAGCAGCCAGAAACAGGUGUUCUGGCUUUAGGUCCCUGUGGACAAUGCCAUUCUCUCCUUCCCAGGCUACUGAUGUCCUGGGUUGCUCCUCUUAUGGUAGAAGCUCAAGAUGGAAUGGCUGGAGCUUGGCUGCCUCCGGUUAGAGCCUGGGCUCUGUAUUGCAGACAUCACCCGGCAGAAUUCCUCAUGGGCCCCUUUUGUCGUGGGUGCGACUGCUGGGGCCAGGGUUGUCGUGGGUAGUAAAGGUAUUUACCAAGACAACUGUGAGUAAAGAAAGGCAAAUUUAUUACAGAAACUAUGAAAAUACAUUGCAAGAAUGCAACAUGCAGCACAGCAGAGAAGGGGCUGUCUGCAAAGAUAAAGGGCUGGAGGGAAGUUUUCUAAGGUUGUGCUGGACAGGGCUAUGUGCCGGUGAGCUUGUGCUAUAUGCUAAGAAUAUGUUGGAAUAAUUUUAACUGCCAGGGCUUUCCUCUUCUGGUGCCUGAGGGAAACGCCCUGCUGCUUUUAGCUGUCUUGUAACCCACACGCCUUUUCAUUUCUGAAGUUGCAAGAUAACGGCUGUGGUUUUUCACACAAAAGGGUUGCAGACUGGGUUAGGUCCAUGUUCCGCCAACCUGGCUCUUUCCCAGUUUCAGUUAACUUAGUGGUUUACUAGAGCCCCACACCUUUCUCUUUCAUAUGGCCAUGAUCCAGGAGGUAAUCCGUCACCUCCCCUCCACUAGAGUGCUCCAUGGCCAGGGGUAAUCCUCACCUCUCCUCCGCUAGAGUGCUCCAUGGCCAGGCAGUGUUUCCUGCAUCCAGAGCACCUCAAACAAUUUCAGUGUUGUGGUGACUCAGGGCCUUCACCAUACAGACUUGGCAGCAUAGUCUAGAGGCUGGAGGGUCUCUGUGACUCCCAUUAAUGACGGUCACUGCCACGGUUUCCCCAAGCAGGAUGUGCCAGGAAAACUGCUCCAUGUUGGCUCAGCAGAAUGUUAUUAUAGGUAGCUCAAAAAGAGAGGGAACAGGGCUUCUAGAUUAUUUCAGGGAACAAGCUAUUAUUUGAAUGUUAAUUUAAGACUAUUUUAUCAAUUAAAAAUGUAAGGCCCAAGAAACUUCAUUUAGGAAGAAUGAAUAAAUUGAAUGAAUACUGUUAAACUUUAUGCUUCUUUCAACAAAUAUUUUCUGCUCCUCUCUAUGAAUCAGGCACUGUGCUAGAUACCAUAACAUAGAAACAUAGUGUCAAUCAAAUAUGGUGUGGGUACUGUAUGUCAAAUUUAAAAAUAAAAUAAAAGUGCUAUAUAA
rnacentral:sRNA from 1 species